rnacentral:rRNA from 1 species
CGGGGGUACUUCAGAGGCGGACGGGUGAGUAACACGUAGGCGACCUGCCCCGAAGCAGGGGAUAACGGCCCGAAAGGGCCGCUAAUACCCAAAAGGGUCACGAGUCAUAUCGUGAUCAGAGUUACGGCGUUUCGGGAGGGGCCUGCGGCCCAUCAGCUAGUUGGUAGGGUAACGGCCUACCAAGGCGACGACGGGUAGGGGGCCUGAGAGGGUGAUCCCCCACAUUGGCACUGACACACGGGCCAAACUCCUACGGGAGGCAGCAGUGAGGAAUAUUGCACAAUGAGCGAAAGCUAGAUGCAGCAACGCCGCGUGGACGACGAAGGCCUUCGGGUCGUAAAGUCCUUUUCAGGGGGACGAGUGAGGACGGUACCUCCGGAAUAAGUCACGGCUAACUACGUGCCAGCAGCCGCGGUAAAACGUAGGUGGCGAGCGUUAUCCGGAUCCACUGGACGUAAAGCGCCUGCAGGCGGUCUCGUAAGUGGGAUGUGAAAUCUCUUGGCUCAACUGGGAGGGGCCAUUCCAUACUGCGGGACUGGAGGGCAGAAGAGGGAAGCGGAAUUCCCGGUGUAGUGGUGAAAUGCGUAGAUAUCGGGAGGAACACCAGUGGCGAAGGCGGCUUCCUGGCCUGCUCCUGACGCUAAGAGGCGAAAGCUAGGGGAGCGAACGGGAUUAGAAACCCCGGUAGUCCUAGCCGUAAACGAUGGAUACUGGGUGUCGGCGGUCCUAACCCCGUCGGUGCCGAAGCAAACGCGUUAAGUAUCCCGCCUGGGGACUACGGCCGCAAGGUUAAAACUCAAAGGAAUUGACGGGACCCCGCACAAGCAGCGGAGCGUGUGGUUUAAUUCGAUCUACACGAAGAACCUUACCCAGGUUUGACAUGCAAGUAGUAGUGAAGCGAAAGCGAACGACCCGCAAGGGAGCUUGCACAGGUGCUGCAUGGCUGUCGUCAGCUCGUGCCGUGAGGUGUUGGGUUAAGUCUCCUAACGAGCGCAACCCUCGUCGUCAGUUACAUGUGUCUGGCGAGACUGCCGGUCUAAAGCCGGAGGAAGGUGGGGAUGAUGUCAAGUCAGCAUGGCCUUUAUAUCUGGGGCUACACACACGCUACAAUGGCCAGUACAAUGGGUCGCCAACCCGCGAGGGGGAGCCAAUCCUAAAAAGCUGGUCUCAGUUCGGAUUGCAGGCUGCAACCCGCCUGCAUGAAGUCGGAGUUGCUAGUAAACGCAGGUCAGCCAUACUGCGUUGAAUACGUUCCCGGGGUUUGUACACACCGCCCGUCACGUCAUGGGAGCUGGUAACACCUGAAGCCGGUGCGCUAACCGCAAGGGGGCAGCCGUCGAGGGUGGGACUGGUGAC